rnacentral:rRNA from 1 species
GACGAACGCUGGCGGCGUGCUUAACACAUGCAAGUCGAACGGAAAGGCCCUGCUUUUGUGGGGUGCUCGAGUGGCGAACGGGUGAGUAACACGUGAGUAACCUGCCCUUGACUUUGGGAUAACUUCAGGAAACUGGGGCUAAUACCGGAUAGGAGCUCCUGCUGCAUGGUGGGGGUUGGAAAGUUUCGGCGGUUGGGGAUGGACUCGCGGCUUAUCAGCUUGUUGGUGGGGUAGUGGCUUACCAAGGCUUUGACGGGUAGCCGGCCUGAGAGGGUGACCGGCCACAUUGGGACUGAGAUACGGCCCUGACUCCUACGGGAGGCAGCAGUGGGGAAUAUUGCACAAUGGGCGGAAGCCUGAUGCAGCAACGCCGCGUGCGGGAUGACGGCCUUCGGGUUGUAAACCGCUUUCGCCUGUGACGAAGCGUGAGUGACGGUAAUGGGUAAAGAAGCACCGGCUAACUACGU